rnacentral:rRNA from 1 species
UACGGAGGGGGCUAGCGUUGUUCGGAAUCACUGGGCGUAAAGGGCGCGUAGGCGGCUCAUGAAGGCUGUGGUGAAAGUCCGGGGCUCAACCUCGGAUCGGCCGUGGCGACUCGUGGGCUGGAGCACUGUAGAGGCGGGUGGAAUUCCGGGUGUAGCGGUGGAAUGCGUAGAGAUCCGGAAGAACACCAGUGGCGAAGGCGGCCCGCUGGGCAGUGGCUGACGCUGAGGCGCGACAGCGUGGGGAGCAAACAGG